GUCGUGGAGAGUCUCCAUCCAGCUGGAUCUCUGUCACAGUGAAACCCACCACUACAAUUCCUCCUUCAACCACCUCUCCUCCUGGUUCCUUCUCCUUUCCAUCAGCCUCCUCUCCUCAUGGUUCCUCCUCUACUCCUCCCUCUGUGUUGUGGUCUGCUGUUCUUUCCUUCUCUGUUCUGGUUGUACUGGUUCUGCUGGUUCUACUGGUGAGACGAUGCCUCUACUGGAAACCUAAAGCUUUUGAAGAAGAAGUUGGGGAUGAUGACAUCACAGAAGACGUCACAUACAGGGAUGUCAAAAUAUCACAUCACCUACAGCAGCCAAUCAGACGCAGCAAAGAGUGUUAUUCAGUUGCAGUCUACUCAGCAGUGAGAGGAACAGGUGACGUCAGUUCUGGACAAAUAGCCGACAGACCACACAGGACGAGAGGAAAUUGCAACCAAAAGAAAGGACGCAAGAGGAUUUAGAAGAGAAGAGGAAACAAAGAUGUUGGCGGGAACAGGGAUUUAUAAAACUGACAAAUGUUGCAAUUAACGCUUAAAGCAUAAUUAUCACAACAUUGUCUACUGUGUGUAAUGCAGGGGAUUAGUGUUGAUGGAAAAAGUUAUUUAUUUUGCUUAUCUGCAAGAGUUGAGGAACAGAGUUAACCAAGUUAGUGUUAACGGGGAAAAUACCGGGCUUAUUGGGACAGGAACCGCUAGAGGUUUAUGCAAUCUCUGCUAUAUUCUCUGAUAUUCAUUUUAUGUAUCACUCCUGGCAUUUGAUAUUUAUUAAUAAUUCAGUUUACUCCAACAUCUAUUAUCUUUGACAAAUUUUUUGUUAUAUUGUGUUUGUUAAAUUGUAAUCUUUUGU